UGCUGUUCUGACAGCUCCUGCUGAGAGAUACAACAUUCAUUUUAAAUGCACCUUUUAUAGGACAGAAUUCUUGGCUUCCCUAAACUGGAGCUACUAGGCACGAAGACAAAUCAAUUCUUGCGGGAUUAGGAAAUUAGCUCUGUUUAGUCAAAGAAUUAUUAAGCCAAAAAUGUCUGCAAUUUGGCUCUCCGCUGUUACAGUCUUAGCUGUUCUAAAAGGCAUCUAUGGAGAAGACGCAGUGACCCAAACUGAAGGCAGCGUUAUCACCCCCCAAGGGAACCCGCUGCGUCUGAACUGCACCUAUCAAUUUUCUGCCAGUGUUGUUGCUGCUUAUCCCUUCUGGUACGUGCAGUUCCCCAACCAGCCCCCCAGGCUCUUCCUGAGGGACCUGGGACGGGAGGACUCGGAUGAAGGGAUCAGAAAAGGGUUCAAUGCCACCCACGAUAAAAAGCUCAAAUCCUUCCACCUGUGGAAACCGGCCAGCGACCUGAGCGACUCCGCCACCUAUUACUGCGCCGCGAGAGACACAGUGACACGGACCGGCAGGGGCGCUGAGCACAAACCGCGCAGGGUCUGUGCGGAGCAGGAGGAAGGCGGACACCGGGGUCUGGGGCCGACUCGGGAACUGAAGGGGGAAUUCUGCAAACACUGA